rnacentral:misc_RNA from 1 species
ACCAUGAAACUCACCGUCAAACAAAUGCACGGUCUAUUAAAGCACAAGGAUUCUCCUUAUAUCAGAGCGAUUGGAUUUCUCUAUUUGAGAUAUGCUGCUGAUCCAAAGACUUUAUGGAAUUGGUUUGAACCAUAUAUUAAAGAUGAUGAGGAAUUCUCUCCGAGCUCUAAUGGACGGAAGAGCACAAUGGGUAUAUAUGUGCGCGACUUGCUUCUUGGACAGUACUACUUCGAUACCCUUUUCCCUCGUAUUCCUGUUCCUGUAAUGCGGCAGAUUGUGUCUAA